rnacentral:lncRNA from 1 species
AGUGUGCAUCGUGCUAUACCUUUUGGCCAUCUUGCUUGCCCUUACCAAAUGGCACUAAAUUAAAAAAAAAAAACAAUGGAAAAACUUCUGCUUCUUUCUUAAAAUACAAGUUUUGUCAAAAAACCGGUGAUUAGAGACCAAUUGAUCUGACUUUUUUUAAAAGGGGGUUCUGUAUUGUAAGAUUAAGUGAAUGUUCAUGUUCAGCUUUUGUUUAUCAGGGUGAAAUAUGCGUAUUUCAUUUAUCACUCAUCUUUCGGGAUUCAAAUGGUAAGUGUCAUCUUAAAACUUGAUGUGACGGUAGAUCUAGCGAUGACGUUCGGCAUUUUUGCAGGGCUCCGUUACCUCAAAAUUUGGCACGACGCCACAGGGUAUUUCCCACCCCACUCCAUCGUGUUCCAUUUUGACAAUGACAUGCAUGAUGUAAACUACACACAAGGAAACAUGAAUGCCUUUCGAUAUAAAGAGAUUAUCCAUCACAAAUGUUACUUGAAAACAAAUGAGCGAGCAUGUAACUUUUACAGACCGGCGAGGCAGUGAGGUGUUGGCACACAUGACAGAAGUUCAGAGUUCUACUGAAGGUUCCACCUGCUUGCCAGGCACUGGGCUUGCGAUAGCCAUUUACAAAUGCAGCGAUUCCACGUCCAAGCCUAACUCGCCGCUUGAUGGUCGCUUUACUCCAGACCUCGCGUGGAGUGCUCCCAUUGAUGCAGAUGUGUGCGUGUGCUCGCCAUCCAAGCGAGCCAGCACUUUCUGGGGUGAAAGCAGUGACCUGGUAUUGCAAAGACGACUCAAAUUAGAUUCAAGUCCUGCCUCACCACCAUCGAGGUUUGACCGAGCUGCUGAUGUCUACCCUUCAUGUCAAGAGUGGCCUUGGGCAGCUGUUGCUGCAGCAGGAGCUACGCUGCCCCGUCCACACCAGAACCGAAGGGCAACCAGUGAACCAGAAUGUUGCAAUGCACGUAACUGCAUUCACCCACGAGGAACAGACUCAACAGAUUUGAUAAAUUUCAAUAUGCCACUGUCCCAAUUUCAAGUGAGUCCAACCACUCUUGAACUGUCUCAGCGUUCUCGCCUCUCAUCUUCAAGUGAGCGUCUCUGUACUGGCCAUCAUGCUCCUUUACUCCGAACAAGAAGUGAUGCCACUGUAAUUGCAACAACGCGAAGCAGCCACGAAACUGUGAGACUUCCAGAUGUGAACUGUAAUGAAACUCACGCUCUGCAUGCAACAAGGGCCUUGUCCGAGGUGCCGAAUCUUGCUCCACUACGCUACGAGCCGAUUUCACGCUCUUCUGAAUCGGUACGUGAUGCAGUUCGGGCAGCAGCAGCUGCUGGUGCAACACUGCGCCGUCGAAAUUCUGAUCAUGACAGUUUGGCCAACAAUGACCAGCAGGCCCUUACGAUGGCAGCAUCUAUGCUGCUGCCUUUGCCCAGCACUUUGGCAAACGCAACCACGGUUCCACCCUUCUGGUCACCAGAUGACAACCAGAGCUCACCAAAUUUGGGUCAGCUUGGUGGUCCAAGGCCACGGCCUAUGGGCCCAGCUACAUGGCGAUCUUGUGAGGCUGUGCAUUGUCUGGUAGGCCGAAGAACAGAGACCAGUGUUGGGGGCUGGUCAGGCGGUGUCUUGGUUUACUUAGCGGAAACAGCAGUGCCCUCUGAUGAAGUGCCAUGCCACUAUCCUUUGACACACCAGGACUUGGAAUGGGAGCGUCAGUGCAGCAGUGUUGUCAAGAUGCCCAGUGUGCGUAGCCUUGUUGAGCAGUUUCAGGAUGCCACAAGGCCACUCCCCACAAGUACUGCCCCCCGUUCAGCAGGCUCUAGUCCUGUUCGCAGGCCUGACCCCUGCCAUAGCCAUUUACGGCAAAAAGAAUGGCUCGACAUACCUCCAGUGAAAAAUGCAUGCAGGACGCCAACGGAAUUCAGUGAGGCAAUAAUGAGUAGUGGGCAGCUUGCUCCUCCCUCUGCUUCUCCUCCUCCUCCUCCUCCUCCUCCACCACCACCACCACUGCCACCCGCGUUUCCAAGUGAGGAAAGACGUGAAGGGUUGGUCUCAGAGGUAUCUGAUUUAGAAUCACUUUUUCAAGCAAGCUUGCAGGCUGGAGCUGGUGUAACCAGCCAGCGAAGGGAGAGUGGACGACCGGGAUCAAUGGCAGGCGCGGGUGCGACUGCAAGAAAAUCUCACCAGGCUCCUGCAUACAAUUUGGCCUUGCGUGCUCGUGCACGUGCCCCCUUGCAUGGCCCUGAACAGGAGGUGCUGGGUGAAGGAGCACCACGACGAGGCAGGUAUGGAGAAGGCUGAAAGAAUAGUUUUAGACUGGCUCAAAAGUUUUUGCUUAACAUUUCACAGAGAGUUAAUUAGAGGAGCGUAACUACAUUUAACUGUCAGAGGUGCCGGGCAAUGCGAGGUUGCUUUGUUGACAGGAAUAUUCAGAGAGGA